rnacentral:rRNA from 1 species
GAUGAACGCUAGCGGGAGGCCUAACACAUGCAAGCCGAGCGGUAGAGUUUCUUCGGAAACUUGAGAGCGGCGCACGGGUGCGUAACACGUGUGCAACCUACCUUUAUCUGGGGGAUAGCCUUUCGAAAGGAGGAUUAAUACCCCAUAAUAUAAUGAUUGGCAUCAAUUAUUAUUGAAAACUCCGGUGGAUAGAGAUGGGCACGCGCAAGAUUAGAUAGUUGGUGAGGUAACGGCUCACCAAGUCAAUGAUCUUUAGGGGUCCUGAGAGGGAGAUCCCCCACACUGGUACUGAGACACGGACCAGACUCCUACGGGAGGCAGCAGUGAGGAAUAUUGGACAAUGGGUGAGAGCCUGAUCCAGCCAUCCCGCGUGAAGGAUGACGGUCCUAUGGAUUGUAAACUUCUUUUGGACAGGGAUAAACCUACCCUCGUGAGGGUAGCUGAAGGUACUGUACGAAUAAGCACCGGCUAACUCCGUG